rnacentral:hammerhead_ribozyme from 1 species
GCACUACUGAAGAGUCCCACAAUAGGAUGAAAUCACCGUCCAGUGC